CAGCAGCCACGGUAAAACGUAGGGUGCGAGCGUUAAUUGGAAUUACUGGGCGUAAAGCGUGCGUAGGCGGUGAGUUAAGUCUGCUGUGAAAUCCCCGGGCUCAACCUGGGAAUGGCAGUGGAUACUGGCUCGCUAGAGUGUGUCAGAGGAUGGUGGAAUUCCCGGUGUAGCGGUGAAAUGCGUAGAGAUCGGGAGGAACACCAGUGGCGAAGGCGGCCAUCUGGGACAACACUGACGCUGAGGCACGAAAGCGUGGGGAGCAAACAGGAUUAGAGACCCGCGUAGUCCCUGUCUCUUAUAA
rnacentral:rRNA from 1 species